rnacentral:snRNA from 1 species
ACGCUGCAGACAAUCUGCAUAA